AGAAUCAACGCUGGCGGCGUGCCUCAGACAUGCAAGUCGAACGAUUAAAGCUCUCUUCGGAGAGUGUAUAGAGUGGCGCACGGGUGAGUAACACGUAAGUAAUCUACCUUUGAGUGGGGAAUAACCCGGGGAAACCCGAGCUAAUACCGCAUAAUGCAGCGGCAUCUAAUGAUGACAGUUGUUAAAGAAAUUUAUUUCGCUUGAAGAGGAGCUUGCGGCAGAUUAGCUAGUUGGUAAGGUAACGGCUUACCAAGGCUACGAUCUGUAACCGGUCUAAGAGGACGGUCGGUCACACUGACACUGAAUAACGGGUCAGACUCCUACGGGAGGCAGCAGUCGGGAAUUUUGAGCAAUGGGCGAAAGCCUGACCCAGCAACGCCGCGUGAAGGAUGAAGUAUUUCGGUAUGUAAACUUCGAAAGAAGUGGAAGAAUCAAUGACGUACCAUUUAUAAGGUCCGACUAACUACGUGCCAGCAGCCGC
rnacentral:rRNA from 1 species